rnacentral:misc_RNA from 1 species
AACUUUUAGCAACGGAUCACUUGGUUCUGGCAUCGAUGAAGAACGCAGCGAAAUGCGAUAAGUAUUGUGAAUUGCAGAAUUCCGUGAAUCAUCGAAUCUUUUAACGCACAUUGCGCCUAUUGGUAUUCCAAUAGGCAUGCCUGUUCGAGCGUCAUUUAACUCUUCAAGCUUUGCUUGGUGUUGGGUAUUGUUCGCCUUGCGAACUUGCCUUGAAUAAAUUGGCAGCCAACAAUUGGGUGUUGGAGCGCAGCACAUUUUGCGUUCUUAACCUUAGUAGUUGGCGUCCAGAAAGCUUAUUUCAACGUUUGACCUCGGAUCAGGUAGGGAUACCCGCUGAACUUAAGCAUAUCAAUAAGCGGAGGAU